rnacentral:sRNA from 1 species
ACGACAGGUCCCAGAUGAAGUGUCUUGCUUACUCACAAAAUGUGUAAAUCACAGACUGCAGCAAUGCAAGAUCCCACACACUGCCUCACUAAUGUGCCUCAACCCUGAACAGGAGGGACCACAACUUAACUGCCCAUUCAGUCUUUGGCCUCUUUACUCUGAGGCCACU